UACGUAGGGGGCAAGCGUUGUCCGGAAUCAUUGGGCGUAAAGAGCGCGUAGGCGGCCCUGUAAGUCCGCUGUGAAAGUCAAGGGCUCAACCCUUGAAUGCCGGUGGAUACUGCAGGGCUAGAGUCCGGAAGAGGCGAGUGGAAUUCCGGGUGUAGCGGUGGAAUGCGUAGAGAUCCGGAAGAACACCGGUGGCGAAGGCGGGUCUCUGGGCCGAUACUGACGCUGAGGAGCGAAAGCGUGGGGAGCGAACAGG
rnacentral:rRNA from 1 species